rnacentral:rRNA from 1 species
ACUCAAAUGAAUUGACGGGGGCCCGCACAAGCGGUGGAGCAUGUGGUUUAAUUCGACGCAACGCGCAGAACCUUACCAGCCCUUGACAUGUCCAGGACCGGUCGCAGAGAUGUGACCUUCUCUUCGGAGCCUGGAACACAGGUGCUGCAUGGCUGUCGUCAGCUCGUGUCGUGAGAUGUUGGGUUAAGUCCCGCAACGAGCGCAACCCCCGUCCUUAGUUGCUACCAUUUAGUUGAGCACUCUAAGGAGACUGCCGGUGAUAAGCCGCGAGGAAGGUGGGGAUGACGUCAAGUCCUCAUGGCCCUUACGGGCUGGGCUACACACGUGCUACAAUGGCGGUGACAAUGGGACGCUAAGGGGCAACCCUUCGCAAAUCUCAAAAAGCCGUCUCAGUUCGGAUUGGGCUCUGCAACUCGAGCCCAUGAAGUUGGAAUCGCUAGUAAUCGUGGAUCAGCAUGCCACGGUGAAUACGUUCCCGGGCCUUGUACACACCGCCCGU